rnacentral:rRNA from 1 species
UUCGCAAUGCCCGAAAGGGUGACGAAGCGACGCCGCGUGGGUGAGGAAGGCCCUCGGGUUGUAAAGCCCUGUCAGGAGUUAAGAAAUGUAAGUGCGCUAAUAUCGCAUUUAUUUGACGAAGGCUCCAAAGGAAGCCACGGCUAACUCUGUGCCAGCAGCCGCGGUAAUACAGAGGUGGCAAGCGUUGUUCGGAAUUAUUGGGCGUAAAGAGCACGUAGGUGGGUUUGUAAGUCAGAUGUGAAAGCCUUCUGUUCAACGGAAGAAUUGCAUCUGAAACUACAAGUCUUGAGUGUAGGAGGGGAGAAUGGAACUUCUGGUGGAGCGGUGAAAUGCGUAGAUAUCAGAAGGAACGCCGGCGGCGAAAGCGAUUCUCUGGCCUAUUACUGACACUCAGUGUGCGAAAGCUAGGGGAGCAAACGGGAUUAGACACCCCGGUAGUCCUAGCUGUAAACGAUGGGCACUAAGUAGAGGGGUUUU